AAUGAACGUUGGCGGCGUGGAUUAGGCAUGCAAGUCGUACGGGUCGGUGUAGCAAUACAACGGCAAGUGGCGAAAGGGAGAGUAACACGUAGAUACCUACCCUCUGGUCGGGGAUACCGCGGCAUAACCGCAAGUAAUACCCGAUAAAAUCUCCGGAUCAAAGGUGUGAUUCCGCCGGAGGAGGGGUCUGCGUUCUAUCAGCCUGUUGGUGAGGUAAUGGCUCACCAAGGCUAAGACGGAUACGGGGUGUGAGAGCAUGCCCCCGCUCACUGGGACUGAGACACUGCCCAGACACCUACGGGUGGCUGCAGUCGGGAAUCUUCGGCAAUGGGCGCAAGCCUGACCGAGCGACGCCGCGUGCGGGAUGAAGGCCUUCGGGUUGUAAACCGCUGUCGAGGGGAAUGAAGUGUAGGUGGGUACUCCCAUCUAUUUGACAGAUCCCUGGAGGAAGCAUGGGCUAAGUUCGUGCCAGCCGCCGCCGUAAGAC
rnacentral:rRNA from 1 species